UUGCAGUAAAAGUUCUCAGUGAGGAAACAAUACCGUAUCACUCUCGUGAUUAUUUCUCCCCUUUUUCAGCUCUCCUCUCCUGUGUCCUGCUCCCAGAGAUCAACCAAGUGCUAUUCUCCAAGCAUGGGCUCAGCUGAUUCACUCACCUGUGAGGAGAACCAUCCUACUGCAGUUUGAACUAGCCCUGCCAUCACUAUUAGACAUUGAGACCCCAUAUGCAUUUGUCUGUUGUCUUUUCUUUGUGGGUUUUGUCUUACAGUCAAUUAGAGUUGAAGAGCACCAACUACAGAUACACAUGCUUGUUAGGGAAUCUCAAAUACUCAAUUCAAUAUAGAAUCAGUUUGACGAGGUGAAAAACAGAAUGUUUUACUAUUGUAACAUACAGUGAUGAGAACUCCAUUGUCCCAGUCAUGAACCCAGGCUUUGCCGUAGAUGGUAGAGUUCUCGUCUUUGGACUACACAAUCUUAAGAUUGCAUUCCGCUAAGGCACUUCUCUCUCUCUCUACAUCGGUGACCAGGGUGGUAUCCUUUCGAUACACCUAUGGGGCCAGGGCACACAAGUGCUCCUAGAGAGAGGAUGGCAGCGGGGGUGGGUGUACUGAAGCAUGUGUUGAUGACAGAUACUUCAAAUGUUGCCUGAGACAACAUUGCUAUUUGUCUCCAUACUCAAAUGGUGAAACACUAAAUGGGAAGUUCUUUGUUCUAAUGUAUAGGCAUGAAAGGUACACUAUGGAAAACAUGCAUCAUACUCAGUCAUAUUUAGUAGUAGAAUAAUGGAUUGGCAAGCAUUUGGCACCGUCAACUUUGAAGGUUAGUAGGAAAGUAACCAUUUAAACCAAUCUAUUAACAUUCACUGGACAUUUAGCAUUUGAAACUCAAAUAUUCAUUUCCCAACUGCUUUUUCUAUAAUCCUGUAGACUCUAUCAUUCUCCAUACGUUAUAUUAAAAUGCAUUCAACA